AGAGUUUGAUCCUGGCUCAGGAUGAACGCUAGCUACAGGCUUAACACAUGCAAGUCGAGGGGAAACGAUAUUGGAAGCUUGCUUCCGAUAGGCGUCGACCGGCGCACGGGUGAGUAACGCGUAUCCAACCUGCCCACCACUUGGGGAUAACCUUGCGAAAGUAAGACUAAUACCCAAUGAUAUCUCUAGAAGACAUCUGAAAGAGAUUAAAGAUUUAUCGGUGAUGGAUGGGGAUGCGUCUGAUUAGCUUGUUGGCGGGGUAACGGCCCACCAAGGCAACGAUCAGUAGGGGUUCUGAGAGGAAGGUCCCCCACAUUGGAACUGAGACACGGUCCAAACUCCUACGGGAGGCAGCAGUGAGGAAUAUUGGUCAAUGGACGAGAGUCUGAACCAGCCAAGUAGCGUGCAGGAAGACGGCCCUAUGGGUUGUAAACUGCUUUUAUAAGGGAAUAAAGUGAGAGUCGUGACUCUUUUUGCAUGUACCUUAUGAAUAAGGACCGGCUAAUUCCGUGCCAGCAGCCGCGGUAAUACGGAAGGUCCGGGCGUUAUCCGGAUUUAUUGGGUUUAAAGGGAGCGUAGGCCGGAGAUUAAGCGUGUUGUGAAAUGUAGACGCUCAACGUCUGCACUGCAGCGCGAACUGGUUUCCUUGAGUACGCACAAAGUGGGCGGAAUUCGUGGUGUAGCGGUGAAAUGCUUAGAUAUCACGAAGAACUCCGAUUGCGAGGGCAGCUCACUGGAGCGCAACUGACGCUGAAGCUCGAAAGUGCGGGUAUCGAACAGGAUUAGAUACCCUGGUAGUCCGCACGGUAAACGAUGGAUGCCCGCUGUUGGUCUGAAUAGGUCAGCGGCCAAGCGAAAGCAUUAAGCAUCCCACCUGGGGAGUACGCCGGCAACGGUGAAGCUCAAAGGAAUUGACGGGGGCCCACACAAGCAGUGGAGUAUGUGGUUUAAUUCGACGCAACGCGAAGAACCUUACCAAGUCUUGACAUCCCUUGACGAUGCUGGAAACAGUAUUUCUCUUCGGAGCAAGGAGACAGGUGGUGCAUGGUUGUCGUCAGCUCGUGUCGUGAGAUGUUGGGUUAAGUCCCGCAACGAGCGCAACCCUUAUGGUCAGUUACUACGCAAGAGGACUCUGGCCAGACUGCCGUUGACAAAACGGAGGAAGGUGGGGAUGACGUCAAAUCAUCAUGCCCUUUAUGACUUGGGCUACACACGUACUACAAUGGCGUUAAACAAAGAGAAGCAAGACCGCGAGGUGGAGCAAAACUCAGAAACAACGUCCCAGUUCGGACUGCAGGCUGCAACUCGCCUGCACGAAGUCGGAAUUGCUAGUAAUCGCAGAUCGGCAUGCUGCGGUGAAUACGUUCCCGGGCCUUGUACACACCGCCCGUCACACCAUGGGAGCCGGGGAGACCCGAAGUCGGUAGUCUAACCGCAAGGAGGACGCCGCCGAAGGUAAAACUGGUGAUUGGGGUGAAGUCGUAACAAGGUA
rnacentral:rRNA from 1 species